rnacentral:misc_RNA from 1 species
GAUGAAGAACGUAGCGAAAUGCGAUAAGUAAUGUGAAUUGCAGAAUUCAGUGAAUCAUCGAAUCUUUGAACGCACAUUGCGCCCGCCAGUAUUCUGGCGGGCAUGCCUGUCCGAGCGUCAUUUCAACCCUCGAGCCCCUCCGGGGGGUCGGCGUUGGGGAUCGGCCCUUUACGGGGCCGGCCCCGAAAUACAGUGGCGGUCUCGCCGCAGCCUCUCCUGCGCAGUAGUUUGCACACUCGCAUCGGGAGCGCGGCGCGUCCACAGCCGUUAAACACCCCAAACUUCUGAAAUGUUGACCUCGGAUCAGGUAGGAAUACCCGCUGAACUUAAGCAUAUCAAUAAGCGGAGGA